CGGGGUGAGCGGCGGACGGGUUAGUAACGCGUGGGAAUAUACCCUUUGGUACGGAAUAGCCUCUGGAAACGGAGAGUAAUACCGUAUGAGCCCUUCGGGGGAAAGAUUUAUCGCCAAAGGAUUAGCCCGCGUUAGAUUAGGUAGUUGGUGGGGUAAUGGCCUACCAAGCCUACGAUCUAUAGCUGGUUUUAGAGGAUGAUCAGCAACACUGGGACUGAGACACGGCCCAGACUCCUACGGGAGGCAGCAGUGGGGAAUCUUGGACAAUGGGGGCAACCCUGAUCCAGCCAUGCCGCGUGAGUGAUGAAGGCCUUAGGGUCGUAAAGCUCUUUCGCCUGUGAAGAUAAUGACGGUAGCAGGUAAAGAAACCCCGGCUAACUCCGUGCCAGCAGCCGCGGUAAUACGGAGGGGGUUAGCGUUGUUCGGAAUUACUGGGCGUAAAGCGCACGUAGGCGGACUGGAAAGUUGGGGGUGAAAUCCCAGGGCUCAACCCUGGAACUGCCUCCAAAACUAUCAGUCUAGAGUUCGAGAGAGGUGAGUGGAAUUCCGAGUGUAGAGGUGAAAUUCGUAGAUAUUCGGAGGAAGCACCAGUGGCGAAGGCGGCUCACUGGCUCGAUACUGACGCUGAGGUGCGAAAGUGU
rnacentral:rRNA from 1 species